rnacentral:rRNA from 1 species
GACGAACGCUGGCGGCGUGCCUAAUACAUGCAAGUAGAACGCUGAAGAGAGGAGCUUGCUCUUCUUGGAUGAGUUGCGAACGGGUGAGUAACGCGUAGGUAACCUGCCUUGUAGCGGGGGAUAACUAUUGGAAACGAUAGCUAAUACCGCAUAACAAUGGAUGACACAUGUCAUUUAUUUGAAAGGGGCAAUUGCUCCACUACAAGAUGGACCUGCGUUGUAUUAGCUAGUAGGUGAGGUAAUGACUCACCUAGGCGACGAUACAUAGCCGACCUGAGAGGGUGAUCGGCCACACUGGGACUGAGACACGGCCCAGACUCCUACGGGAGGCAGCAGUAGGGAAUCUUCGGCAAUGGGGGCAACCCUGACCGAGCAACGCCGCGUGAGUGAAGAAGGUUUUCGGAUCGUAAAGCCCUGUUGUAAGUCAAGAACGGGUGUGAGAGUGGAAAGUUCACACUGUGACGGUAGCUUACCAGAAAGGGACGGCUAACUACGUG